rnacentral:lncRNA from 1 species
CUCUCAGUUCCGCUAUUGGACAAAAUUGCGCCGGUACCAUUUUGGGGGGAUGAUAAUGUUUAUUAUUGGCCAUAACUUUGUAUAAUCAAAAUAAUACAUGUUAUUUUCAACGGAAUAUGUUUUAUCUAAUGCACAAAAUAAUUAGGAUAUCACCUUUGUUAACGUUUAGAAAACCUGUACGCAUUAUGCGCCCCUGCUUUCAAAGAUAUUGGUACGGUCUUUUCAAUUGCGCUGCAAACGUACAUUGAGCCACAAGAAGAACGUGAAACCCGCUCCAAAUAAGAUGCUGCGGACCGAUGUCGGUGUUAAUUGAUCUGGUUAUUCUGUUUUAAGAAAAGGAAACACCACACUGCGGCAUAAUUUCAUUUUUGCCCCGCGGAGAGGAGGAUGGUGCCUGGGUUGUCAUAACUUUAGACUCGCUGCUUUUCCUUGGCACGCGCACUGAUCCAGUUGGUGAGGGACCGAUGGUAAAGGUAGAUUACCCUCUCGGCGACGGAUCCUUACAAGGCAACUGGACCUUCUUCCUUGAUACCUCCUUCUCUUUCUCCUGCGAAUGGCGGGGAUGAGGGCCUUGUCGGUCAUCUGAAGUAAAUCCUUCCCGUCCGUCUCGUUGAAGAAAAAGUAAUCCUCCAGUACGUGGCAGCAGUUACAGGGUUCUGAUCCUGAGGAGAUGACGGAAGUGGUAGAGCCCAAGCUGGACUUUGCAUCCUCGGGUCGCUCGGGGAGAAGGAACGCCCUACCUGACAUCCUGGGGUCACCGGCUGGGGUCAACCCCACUGACCUUCCACUCAAACUGGCCGAGCUCAACCUCACAGAUGUUCAGGGAGAAGCCCAGUCUCCCACGACGGAGGAGGCCCCACCCCCUCCAGAGAGCUCUGAGGGGAAUGAGGGAUCAUAAGGCUGCCUGGUGGGGGUCUAACUAGCCCCAAUGUUUACCUCUUGUGAGGCUGAUGAGAUAACUGCAGAAGAGGAAUGGAUGGGUAGGACGAUACAGUAAGACCCAUGAAGGAGUGGUGGGCCUGUUUGAACAGCAGCUGAGCUGCAGAGGGAUGAGCGGAGAAAGGGUGGGAGAGAAGGUUAGAAGGAUGGACAGAGAACUGUCUCUUAUCACACAAUCUGAAAAGACUUAAGAAAAGCGUUGGUGUGUGUGGGUGUGUGUGUGUGGGUGGACAGAUCACCUCUACUCCCACACACACUGCCAUGAGAAACAAAGGACAUACGCUGAUUAUAUACUGUUGUGCAAAACGGGGAAGUCUCAAGUGGAAAAAAUGUCAAAUGUCAAAUUUCCUGCUGAUGUCUAUUACAGGUAGGACGAUGGGCAGAUCCUCGUGGCCUAUAGUGGUUCUGAGCUUUCUGAUCGUUCUGGAAGAUAUAAGGUGAUAAUGUAUUAUAAUGUACUGGAAAUGUUUGAAGAACGAGGGGAGAGUGAGUUAACUGUAUAACAAGGGGGAGCUGGCUUCCUCUUUCACACAGACAUUUGAUGUAAGCAUGAACUCAGAUCUGAGACUUUAAUACGGAUGGCAGCAUGGUGUGUACAGCAUAUAUGGGUUUUUAAACGUUGUUAAUGGUUUUGAUGACAACCAAUGGGGCUAUAAUGCUAAUGGGUUGAGAUGAAGACGAUGACUGAUGUGAUUGUGACCUGAAGUGUUGAUGUGUUUAUUUGCAAAGGUUAGCUAGAAGCUAAAGCUAAUGUUAUGAGUAGGAGGACAAUCCAAUCCCUGUCUUUUAAACAUUCCUGACAUCAACCUAAAAUGGUUUCUCACUGCCAACCAUGUACUGUUAAACACUCCUCUGCUGUUGGUGUAUUUCUAUCCCGGAUUUAUCUCGGUGUAGGCUCAGACUUUUCUGUUUCCAUCUACAUGGGCCGGCACCCGUGUCUCACUGGGCCAUGGCUCCAGCGGACCUGCUCUCACUUGGGGCCAAAGCCAGGCCGCUGGUACUUUUCAGAUGGCAUUUACGUAACAAUGGCUCACUGUGAACUUUAACACCUCACAAAGCUGCUGUUUGGAUUAUGCAGAGGUUGUUGAUUCUGCUCUUCACAAGUCCUCAGUGUCAGCACUAGCUAUGGAAACACACUUUGGCUAGAAUAACAUAAGGGUGUAUGCACUCUUGUAACAUUGGUGUUAUGGUUGAAAAAACAGCAUGUGACAACUGCUGAUGUGUUAAUCUAUUCAGCUCAAGGCUGUCUUUCGUUAAAAGGCUUUCUAUUUUCCCAGACUCCUCUGAAAAUGUGCCUGAUAGCAGUUCACAUGGAAACCUGUUUUGUUGUGUUCUAUAGCUCUGUGUUAAGUGCUGUUCAACAGUAUUUGGGCUAUUGACACAUACAUGAAAACACCUAUUUUUUUUUGUUUAGUAAAAGACAUGCCUACCAGGUGUGUACAGUACAGAGAAAUGUCACAUUUAUAACCAGAAUACUACUAAAUGCAAUGUUACCGAUGUAUACGCUCAAAGACGAAUACCACCCACACCCACAGCAAGGCCUUGGAGAUGGAACGCUUGUGCACAUGUUUCCCAGUGUGGUCGGCAUAUGCCUGUGGUCUGGGCAUGGGAGCAAGCACCAAGCAACACCGCCACCAAAGUGUUGCAUCACGUCUGGAGAUGGCAGCAUCCUUUCUGCCUCCUUCUGCUCCACUCAGCCACGGACGGACUGGGACCACAAAUCAGCCCCGGCAUUUGUUACACACAGGCCCUUUUUUUCCCUGGAGGCCCCUAUUGUUAGCCAAAUAAUGGUCAUUCUGCGUAAAAAAACUAACAAUUUAGACAAGCCCGCUUGGCUAAAGAUGGACCAUCUGGCAUUUUCCCGAACUGCCCUAUGGCCAGUCCGUGCCUGCAUUAUGCUGCCGGUCUGAGAGGACUUCUAUCUCUUACUCAUCAAAACAAUAGAGCUAAAAAUGCAUGAUCGCAACUGACUGAUGAUACAGUUUGAAUAUGAACACUGGGGACCAGAUGCACGGUGAACAGUAGACUGAUGAUACAGUAUGAAUAUGAACACUGGGGACCAGAUGCACGGUGAACAGUAGACUGAUGAUACAGUUUGAAUAUGAACACUGGGGACCAGAUGCACGGUGAACAGUAGACUGAUGAUACAGUUUGAAUAUGAACACUGGGGACCAGAUGCACGGUGAACAGUAGACUGAUGAUACAGUUUGAAUAUGAACACUGGGGACCAGAUGCACGGUGAACAGUAGACUGAUGAUACAGUAUGAAUAUGAACACUGGGGACCAGAUGCACGGUGAACAGAAGGACUGACAUAUACAGUACUUAGUAAUGCCAAUAUAUAUACUGUUUAACACAGUACAUAAUACCAGUUAUUACACUGCUGUUGUAUAUAUUGUGCUAUUACACAUGGAAGAGUUUAUUCACUAUAUGUGCAUAUUCGUAUAGUGAACAAACAUUCACUAUACAACACAAGAGAAUGAACAUUCUGUAUUAUCAAUUGUCUUUCUAUGAAAUGUUUGGGCUGUGGGUAUCUAUGUAUGGUUUUGUCUCAAACGCAAGCAGCUGAGGCUCUAAUUCGUAAUGCACUGCACUGAUUACUGGAAUCGUUCAUGUAAUAACUCAAGGUAAAUGUUUAAUCUAUGGGGAGGAAAAAUCUGAGGUGUGUCUCGUAGUGUCAUCUGUUCUUAGUGGUGGUAUGUGCAGUACAUUUUUCGUUAGCAUAAUUCCACAUGUCGAUUCUGUCAGGUGGGUAGGCAACAUGCCAUAAUAAAUCCACAAAUCUUUACAUAGA